CAAAUGGUCCUUUUCAGGACCAUUCUUUGAUCGUGUCAUGCAUGAU
rfam:Aedes aegypti strain Liverpool supercont1.202 genomic scaffold, whole genome shotgun sequence.